GAUGAAGAACGCAGCGAAAUGCGAUAAGUAGUGUGAAUUGCAGAAUUCAGUGAAUCAUCGAAUCUUUGAACGCACAUUGCGCCCCUUGGUAUUCCAUGGGGCAUGCCUGUUCGAGCGUCAUUUGUACCUUCAAGCUCUGCUUGGUGUUGGGUGUUUGUCUCGCCUCUGCGUGUAGACUCGCCUCAAAAUAAUUGGCAGCCGGCGUAUUGAUUUCGGAGCGCAGUACAUCUCGCGCUUUGCACUCAUAACGACGACGUCCAAAAGUACAUUUUUACACUCUUGACCUCGGAUCAGGUAGGGAUACCCGCUGAACUUAAGCAUAUCAAUAAGCGACGA
rnacentral:misc_RNA from 1 species